rnacentral:tRNA from 1 species
ACCUGGCUGGCUCAGUCAGUAGAGCAUGCGACUUUUGAUCUCAGGGUCAUGAGUUCGAGCUCCAUGUUGGGCG